UCUGAUAUCUGUUGAAGUUACUUCUUAAAAAAACACAAUAACUACAACAAAAACCUGGCAUGUUCUGAUCCCAAUAAAAAGGGAGUACUGAACAACAAAUAUAUAUAGCAGGCUGGCACCCUUUUUGACAAACUUUAUGGGCCUGUCCAAAUUAGAUAUGUAUGAAUUUAAUUUCAUUUUUAUUUGCUUUUCUUCCCUCUUCUUUUUUUCCAUUUCCUCUCUCCUUCCUUUCUUUCUGCCUUUUCUCUCCAUCCCUCCCUCUCUUCAUCCCUUCCUUCCAUCCUUCUUUCCUUUCUCCCUCUUCUUCUUCUCUCUUUCCUCCUUCUUGUUCCUUCUUUUAGUUUUGCUUUAGUCAGGUCUCUAAAAUAAAUGGGGAUUUGCCUGUGACUUAAGAGAUUUUUAAAUUAUUAUAUAUUAUCUUUAUUACAAUGGCAUUUAUUGUAAUGGGUUAUGUGUCAUAUCAUUUCUGCAUUUUGACAAAUUCUUUUUUCUCCUUUAAAACCUAGGUGGACAAUUCUGUGUUAUAGUUCUACUUUUAAUAGACCUCUAGAUUUUUACCAUACCCAUAAUAGCACCACUUUUAAGUAACCAAAGCAAUAAUGCUUUGAUCAUCGUAACAGCAACAAACAUUAGAGGAUGGCAGUCAUCAGAUAUUCCACUGAAGGAAACAAAAUAUGCCAUUGAAGGAAUAGGCUUGAAUACUUUAUCCCAAGUUGAUGAAUGGGGUUCUACACAAAUGACAUUCUUUAGUGUAUAAUAUUAAUGAACCAUAAGAUAUAAAAUCAUUUUCUUCAGCCCUGAACCACAGACCUGUUUGCUCCUUCAGAGUGAAAUAUCCACUGAUAUCUGAUUGACUCAGACAAGUGUCCCACCUGGCAGGAGUCCAGAAAUAACAAGACUGCUAUAUUCAGCUAGGUUAAGAAAGCAGAAAAAAAGAACAGUUCAGCAAAACCAACCAAUGCAUCAAUGGUGUCUGACAACACGUAUGCAAUGAUUUACAGCCAUAAUAAAUCAAUCAAUAAAACAUUAAGUGCUCACUA